GCUGGGGGAGAGCUGUCCCUCCCAAGGCCUGCAGUUGGGAGGGGGACUUGGGGGGCCGUCUAGGGGCCCUUUCAGGCUCCAUGGGACAUGGCCGCCCAGGCCGCCUUGCUGGGGCUCAUCUAGGAGUGGCGUUCCUCAUGUCGCCCUGAAGGCCAGCUCUGGACCUCCCCAGGAAAGUGCCACCUUGCAGAGCUGCUCCUCCGGAGCCCCGACCCUUGGGACACCCUCCAGCCGGCGGCCCCCAGUGGAGUGGGGGCUCCAGGAGGCCAGGCCUGGCUUGCUGACCUUGGACAGCAGCUGCAGGACGGGCCAGAGGGGGAGGCUGCCACCCAG
rnacentral:lncRNA from 1 species